AGAGUUUGAUCCUGGCUCAGGACGAACGCUGGCGGCGUGCUUAACACAUGCAAGUCGUACGAGACGAUUGAAAGCUUGCUUUUGAAAGUCGAGUGGCAAACGGGUGAGUAACGCGUAGACAACCUGCCGUAAAGAUGGGGACAACAGUCCGAAAGGACUGCUAAUACCGAAUGUUGUGGAACUUCCGCAUGGGAGCUCCACUAAAGAUGGCCUCUACUUGUAAGCUAUCGCUUUACGAUGGGUCUGCGUCUGAUUAGCUAGUUGGUGGGGUAACGGCUUACCAAGGCGACGAUCAGUAGCCGGUCUGAGAGGAUGAACGGCCACAUUGGAACUGAGACACGGUCCAGACUCCUACGGGAGGCAGCAGUGGGGAAUCUUCCGCAAUGGGCGCAAGCCUGACGGAGCAACGCCGCGUGAGUGAAGAAGGGUUUCGACUCGUAAAGCUCUGUUGUCGGGGACGAAUGUGGAGAUGGUGAAUAACCAUUUCCAAUGACGGUACCUGACGAGGAAGCCACGGCUAACUACGUGCCAGCAGCCGCGGUAAUACGUAGGUGGCGAGCGUUGUCCGGAAUUAUUGGGCGUAAAGGGAGCGCAGGCGGGAGGUCAAGUCUAUCUUAAAAGUGCGGGGCUCAACCCCGUGAGGGGAUGGAAACUGGUCUUCUUGAGUGCAGGAGAGGAAAGCGGAAUUCCUAGUGUAGCGGUGAAAUGCGUAGAUAUUAGGAGGAACACCAGUGGCGAAGGCGGCUUUCUGGACUGUAACUGACGCUGAGGCUCGAAAGCGUGGGGAGCGAACAGGAUUAGAUACCCUGGUAGUCCACGCCGUAAACGAUGAAUGCUAGGUGUAGGAGGUAUCGACCCCUCCUGUGCCGGAGUUAACGCAAUAAGCAUUCCGCCUGGGGAGUACGGCCGCAAGGCUGAAACUCAAAGGAAUUGACGGGGGCCCGCACAAGCGGUGGAGUAUGUGGUUUAA
rnacentral:rRNA from 1 species